UACGGAGGGUGCAAGCGUUAAUCGGAAUUACUGGGCGUAAAGCGCAUGUAGGCUGUAUGGCAAGUCAGGGGUGAAAUCCCACGGCUCAACCGUGGAACUGCCUCUGAAACUACCAAACUAGAGUGUGUGAGAGGAUGGCGGAAUUCCAGGUGUAGGAGUGAAAUCCGUAGAUAUCUGGAAGAACAUCAGUGGCGAAGGCGGCCAUCUGGCACAUGACUGACGCUGAGAUGCGAAAGCGUGGGUAGCAAACAGG
rnacentral:rRNA from 1 species